rnacentral:sRNA from 1 species
CUCAUAUUCCCUGAGCUGUUCAGCGGUCAUCUGGAUGAC